rnacentral:lncRNA from 1 species
CUUCAAGGACUUCUCAUAUUGUUCCCUUCCUCCAAAGCCAGUCCAUCCCUGUUACAUGAGGAAAGAGCUUCAUGACUUAUAAAAUGAUAUGAAGGGAAAAAGAGAUGAAGUUUCUUGAUUUGGAGUAAAGUGACAAAGGACUGUUGAAAAAUCCCUUUGAUGUCCAAAUGGAACAUGGACUGGCGAGGGGAAAGACUCAAGCCAGGGAAGUCAUUUAGAGGAUUGGUCCAAGAAAGAUGUAAGGAGCUAUGGAGCAAUCAUGACACCUGUAUGAGUGGAGAAAAUGAAAGAAUAUGAAAGAUAUUAUAAAGGGGAGUAUAAACAUAAAUCCCCAUAAAGACUCUGAACCUGAAGGCAAAAAAAAGCAGAUUGAGCAGCCAAAGAAAAUUGAGAUGUCCACCCUGAUGAAUUGGGUCAGACUGAAGUCCUCUGAGCCAAAGAUGGCUAUCUUAUACCUGUUUAAUGAAGCGGAAUAG